rnacentral:rRNA from 1 species
UACGUAGGGUGCAAGCGUUGUCCGGAAUUAUUGGGCGUAAAGAGCUCGUAGGCGGUUUGUCGCGUCUGCUGUGAAAACCCGAGGCUCAACCUCGGGCCUGCAGUGGGUACGGGCAGACUAGAGUGCGGUAGGGGAGAUUGGAAUUCCUGGUGUAGCGGUGGGAUGCGCAGAUAUCAGGAGGAACACCAAUGGCGAAGGCAGAUCUCUGGGCCGUAACUGACGCUGAGGAGCGAAAGCACGGGGAGCGAACAGG